rnacentral:lncRNA from 1 species
UGAGCCGACGACCGGACAUCUUUUGUCAAGGUUUGUGCCCACUGAAAACUCUUGCUGAGGAUAUGAAUGAUAUUCAUCGCAAACUGAUGUAGCUUCUCAAUAUAUGUACUGUAUUAGAUUGUUUUGAUUUAUAUCAGAUGCGCUAUCUUUUGGUAUGUUCAACCAUUCAGGUUGUGUUACUGUUUCCUAAGUUCAGGUUGGAGGAGUAUGAAUAUUGAUAAUAGUCGUGAUUCUUGUGGAGUAAUUUAUCACAGAGUUCCUUUCAGGCUUAUGCCAUAUCAUCAAUGAACCAUAUGGAUCGAUGUUUUCACCAUGUUUUAGUUCCAUGUACUUAUAGUAAUAGCUGAGAACAUGGUGCAUUUUGUUUAACCAUUUCCUAAUCCACACAGCUUUCAGAAUGCUAACGCAAGUACUUAGACAAGCGCACAUCAGACUUUCAUGGUACGACGGUGCGCCCAUCAAUUGUUAUGUGUUCUACUUAUGUGUUCUACUCUGCCUGUGACAUGACCAUCAACUUCAUUUUACCGCUGGACAAGAAAUGACAUGCAUCUCAUGUCCACGAUCCUACUUAGAAACAAUAACUAUCUAGACUUAACUAUUGUAAAAUAUAAAUGUUAAUAUAUUGUCUAGACUUAACUAUUAAUCAGGGCACACAAUGUUAAUAUACUUCAAAUAUGGCUAAGUUGGUCUUAACUAUUGUAAAAUAUAAAUGGCAAUGAUAAUGCAGACAUAGAUCAUAUUAUUGCAUUACCCUUUUCCAAGAAAAUAAUGGAAGUACGUGUAUGAUCUUUCUGUGAAAUACAUUAUCAUGCUUUUGCAAGUUCCACGUUUUUCAAUUUCAGAUAAAGGAAUUGGAUCUUUCUUGGAGGCUCGGUGUUUCUUAACUGAGGCAUCUGCAGCAAUCUGUGUGUUGUCAGGUCCCAACGGGUCAAAGGAUUCAUCCUCCUUAUUCUGUCAGAUUUGCUUAUUCUUUCCAUGCAUACUGUACGAUCUUGAAAAGGUCAGAUUUGAGAGUACAUCUGCUGAAUUUUAAUUUUCAAAGAUGAUGAAUAUAUAUUGUAUAAUAUAAAUCAAAAUAUCAUAUAUUGAAUUUGUAGUUUCAUUCUCCAUUUCAGAUGAUGUCGUCUUCAGAUGUUGUUGUCUACCUAACCUAUUAUAGUUAUUUGUUCUCAAUCUGUCAUUACUCCAAGCCCAUCUCAAAAGCCUACUUUCUUGAAUUGUAGGAUGGAGAAUAAUACUGCUAUAACAGACGUUGAGGCCAUAAAACAACAUCUACUUACACUUAAGCCAAGACAUGAUCAUGAGGUUUCUUUUCAAUUGCAUAGUUCAUAGUUGGAUUUUUACAAGAACAUUUGCUUCCCUGUUUGGAUGUCGUGAGUCACAACAAGGUAUGAGCUGCUGCUAUGUUUUCUAUAUUCUAUCUCAGUAUUUUUCUUCCCUUAAAAUCUUUGUACAAAUUAUUCCAUUUCAUGUUAGUUGAUACUUUGUGUUUGCAAACAAAGCUCAGACCUAUCUCUCUCAGGGCAUUACUUCCAUACCACACAUGAUUUUAUUUUCUUUGCAGACAUCAACGAUAGGGACCAUGCUAUUGAAUGCAUUAGCUGAUUCAGAUGCCAACGGGGAAUUCUGCGAAGAGACAUUUGUGGCCAAUGUGCAGGUAUGCACGAUAAUGUGUGUGUUUCGCAUUAUCCAUUUGUUAUUGAACCUUUGUCUCUAUUCUGUCAUCAAUCAAAGGCUUCAUGCUGAGAUUGAACCAACCAUGAAAAUGAGAACCGAAGAAAAGAUUAUUAUCUCUUUCUCCCAUCAUUGGGAUCAACCCUUUUAGGCUUUCAGGUUGAGCAGCGACUUUACAUAUAAACGGACCUCCGUAACAAUUUGUACAGUGCUAGGCAAUUGAAGAAAUAUGAUAGCUCUAAAAUGCAUGCCACUUUAUUUACAAUUCUGUGCAAUUAUGGAGCAGAUAUUGAGCCCACAUAGUGCACUUCAUUAUACAACAUAUAACAUGAACGAUAUGUAAUAUUUAUCUGUCAUUACUUGUCUGGCUCGAACUCAGUAGGACAUAUCUUUUCCUGCUCACAUGGUUUCUAAAGUCAGUGACUGGCAGUUUUGGCAACACAUGGUACAUGCGCUCGGAAUGAAGGCCUGGAUGUGCUGAACAGGUUUGGCACACACUACUGGACACACUUGGUUUGAUACUACGUAACCAAAUAGACUCUGGAUUUAACACAAUUCAGCUAUAUGGUCUCCCCAAUUUAUUUCAGAGGGCUACACACUCAUCAAAUCAGUGGAUCAGAUGGAAAUUAUGCUUCUGACCCAGCUGUUAAAAUAUACAAAGCUGCAUAAAUCAACUUGAACAUUUUAGAUGUCUCAUCAAGACCUCCUCAUGUGUCUCUGUUUAUAUUCACCCAUCGAGAUUUCUAUCUAUGUACUUUGCCAAUAUGUGUCAUAUAUAAUGUAAUUAACAAAUGGGCCUACAUAAAACCUUUAAUUGACUGCCACUCAACCAAGCUCUACAGUCUACUAUUUGUUCUUCAUCUUUAAUAAACAAAAAAAUGAAAAAUUUAGAUGAGUAAGAAAACAACUUUUUACUAUUUUAUCAUUGGUUAUCGUGCGUGCAAUUUUACUAGUUUCCUUGGUCUGAAAGCCUUACCAUCAUUUUCUUCUUGCAGGCGGCCAUGGCAAGAGCAUAUUGUGCAGAGGACGUGGAUGAGAAGAAACUUAUGGUUCUCAUUCAAUCUUUGUGGAACUCUCUUUAUGUGCGAUUGUGCAUUUGUUGGAACCUUUUUUCUGUGCACUUGCACAAGUAUUCUGUUGUGCACAUGUAAAAUUAUUUUGAUGUGUCCUUGUUAGGUGUUGAACCUUAAUGCGUGGAGUCAGUGGAUGAUGUAUUGUAUUUGAUGUGAUAUGCUAUUGAAAUGAAAUAUACAUUUUAUUUGCAAUCUUUUAUUUUGUUGUACUUAUUUUUAAUGGGCCUAUCUUGAGAUAUGCGUGCUUCUAGCAAAAAAAAUGCUU